AUUGAACGCUGGCGGCAGGCCUAACACAUGCAAGUCGAGCGGAUGACAGGAGCUUGCUCCUGGAUUCAGCGGCGGACGGGUGAGUAAUGCCUAGGAAUCUGCCUGGUAGUGGGGGACAACGUUUCGAAAGGAACGCUAAUACCGCAUACGUCCUACGGGAGAAAGCAGGGGACCUUCGGGCCUUGCGCUAUCAGAUGAGCCUAGAUCGGAUUAGCUAGUUGGUGAGGUAAUGGCUCACCAAGGCGACGAUCCGUAACUGGUCUGAGAGGAUGAGCAGUCAAACUGGAACUGAGAAACGGUCCAGACUCCUACGGGAGGCAGCAGUGGGGAAUAUUGGACAAUGGGCGAAAGCCUGAUCCAGCCAUGCCGCGUGUGUGAAGAAGGUCUUCGGAUUGUAAAGCACUUUAAGUUGGGAGGAAGGGUUGUAGAUUAAUACUCUGCAAUUUUGACGUUACCGACAGAAUAAGCACCGGCUAACUCUGUGCCAGCCGCCGCCGUAACAC
rnacentral:rRNA from 1 species